CUUAGCACAAUAUGACACACAUUUUGGCUUCUCUUCAAAUAUGGGCUAAUUUAUACAUUAAUUUAAUAAUUUUGCUAUUCAUGUAUUUUUGUUGAGAGAUUUGAGUGACAAAAAAGUUGGGGUGAUUAAUUUAUUGAUGCUCAUUACCAUUAUCAAAAUGCUAGUAAGGUGAAUUUCAACCAAGGUCUCAUCAUAGCAUAGAAAUAACCUUGGAUUCUCAAUGACUAUGCCAGUAGAAUACAAUUAUGAAGGGUUCUACUAAGAUGGGAAAAGUUUGGAUAGAAUCACAAUGAUUAAUUUGAUGCCCAUAGCAACCAGUAUAAACAUGCCUUUAUAUCAAUUUUGUACUUUAUAAUGUGAAAAUGUUAAGAAGAAUUAAUACAAAUUCAAUUGAAUGAAAGAAGGAAUUAUUCUAGCAACUCACAGUGAAUCAUUAGAUUCCUAUUUUAAUUAAUUAUUUUUUAAUAACUAGGUACUAAACAGUUAUUUGCACCUUCUAAAGUAGUAUACCUGUACAUUUUUAUAUAAACUUCACCACCCCAGAUUCAGAUUAUAUGUCCAUGUUGAAAAUAUAUUCAUUUGAUCUGAAGAUCUGUGAAACUCAUAAUGAAAUCCAGAGAAAGUAACUCAUUAUCAAAAAAUUUUUUUUUCCAGACUCAAUAUGUUAUGAAGGCAAUCUACUAUAGCGUGGAUGAGUUUUGAUCCGCACUGGUUGCAGAUGGACACAUCUGAAUUCACAAGGAGGCAAUGGGAGAUGGUCUGGCUCUUUAAUCACCAUGGCAACUAGCUACCCAAUGAAGGAAGGUCCUAACGCUAAAUAUCCAAGGACUGAUUUUCUUCUAUCAAAUGCCAGAUCCUCAGUGAACACACAUAACAAAAGGAACCUCUCCUAGAAGAGAUUCUGGAAGUUUGUACCUUCUCUCUCAACACUGGAAGACAAAAGACCAG